rnacentral:tRNA from 1 species
AGUAAUGAAGUAAAAUUAUACAUUUAGUUUCGACCUAAAAUUAAGAGCUCAUUAAAGCUCCUUACUU